CCCUAUGGGGUGCAGCACUACCUGCUACUCUUGUCUUUCCUUUGAGGGAGCUACCUUUCCUCGAUCCGAAUUCUCCACCUGAUUUUCCUCUCAUAUUGCUUGUAGCUGGUGCUGGUAGGGCAGACAGAGAUGGAAACAAUGUCGAUGUUCCCGGAAAGAUCGAUUCUCUAAGACAGCUAUCUAAUAUGCUUAGAAUGCGCAAUGUUGGAACUCUUCGCUAUGACAAGCGAGGCACGGGCGAAGCAUACAAGCUCGAAAAACCUGGUCGCAUGACUAGCUUUUCCGAGCAUGUCAGAGAUCUAACUUCUGUCAUUAUUGCAGCUGCUGCUCUACCUCGACAUGGAAGGCUGAUAGGUGCAGGCAUGAACGAGAGAGC
rnacentral:rRNA from 1 species